rnacentral:ncRNA from 2 species
UACGGGUUUGGAAGCUGGUGUAAAUCCGGCACGGUCGCGCCACUGUGAUCGGCUAGCGUUUAGAUGCGCUUGCCGAAAGUCAGGUCUUCUCCCGUA